rnacentral:ncRNA from 2 species
CGGCCUGCUCCGGGGUGCACGUAGAACCUUUUCAGGUGUCUGGGCGUGCUGAGACGGCGGACCUUACCGCCGGAACCGCGAACUUGAUCUGGUUAGUACCAGCGUAAGAAGAGCUGCAGUCUUGAUU